rnacentral:rRNA from 1 species
CCUACGGGAGGCAGCAGUGAGGAAUAUUGGUCAAUGGACGAGAGUCUGAACCAGCCAAGUAGCGUGAAGGAUGACUGCCCUCUGGGUUGUAAACUUCUUUUAUAUGGGAAUAAAAUGUUCCACGUGUGGGAUUUUGUAUGUACCAUAUGAAUAAGGAUCGGCUAACUCCGUGCCAGCAGCCGCGGUAAUACGGAGGAUCCGAGCGUUAUCCGGAUUUAUUGGGUGUAAAGGGAGCGUAGGUGGAUUGUUAAGUCAGUUGUGAAAGUUUGCGGCUCAACCGUAAAAUUGCAGUUGAAACUGGCAGUCUUGAGUACAGUAGAGGUGGGCAGAAUUCGUGGUGUAGCGGUGAAAUGCGUAGAGAUCACGAAGAACACCGAUUGCGAAGGCAGCUCACUGGACUGCAACUGACACUGAGGCUCGAAAGUGUGGGUAGCAAACAGGAUUAGAUACCCGGGUAGUC